rnacentral:lncRNA from 1 species
GAGAAACCAAUAUACAUGCAUGAUGAAGGAAUCUAAUUAAUUUCGUCGAUCAAAAUAAUAAUUAGGUUUAAUAAUGAACUAUAUCUUCAAUUGACGGAUCUAAGACCCUAAGUUAUUACCAGAUGUUUAUGAGUGAUGCGAGAAGACAGUUAAUAUGAGUGGUGCGAAAGGAGGAAAAGGGCCCUCCACGAGGAUGAGGGGAGAGGGGGUGUGAAAAGACGAGAGUAGGGUGGUGGUGAUGACAAAAAGUAAAACAGAGGGUGAGUGAAUAGAGUGAGUGGUAUAUAGUGAUUGGUAGGGAGCAUCUCCACCAAAACCCGUAAAACGCGCCUCCUCACUCACCAUUUUCGUCGUUUUCACUUCUCACAGGUCUCCAUCUCAUCCCUACCACCAACCUACUAUUAUUGUCUUCUCAUUUCUACUGCCAAAAACAAACUAUUAUUUUUUAUUUUACAUACUUUUUUUUUUUCAUCAUAUAUAC